CCUAAAUAAAGCAAAAUUUAUAAUAGGAAGUCUGUUCGACCUUUAAAUAAUUACAUGAUUUGAGUUCAGACCGGUACAAGCCAGGUCGGUUUCUAUCUUUUAAAAAUAUUUUUGUAGUACGAAAGGACCUAAAAAUUAAAUUUUAUUUAUAAAAUUGGCAGAAUAAUGCAUUAGAAUUAGAAUCUAAUUAACU
rnacentral:rRNA from 1 species